rnacentral:lncRNA from 1 species
GCCCAAGGAGACACACAAGCUCAGGUCUGUAGUGGACACCUCUGCAAUCCCCACAGUAGUGCUAAAAGCCAAGAGCAGGAGAGACCAGGCCCAGGAUGGCAAGCUUGUUCUGAUCUUACCUGCUAGCAGUCUGGCUGCUCCUGGGCCAGUUCCCCAGGAAGACUACAGAUUAUUCACUGAUACACCUGUCCAGAGGCUUCUGUACCCAAAUGUUCAAUUUCUUGGAUUCAAAAUGCAAGUCCAAGGAGCAGGAAGACUCUAAUAUCGAUGAGGAAGUGCCAUUGCAAGAAGGGCCACUGCCAGGUGAGAGCUCCCAGUCCUCUCCU